rnacentral:rRNA from 1 species
UACGAAAGGGGCUAGCGUUGUUCGGAAUUACUGGGCGUAAAGCGCACGUAGGCGGCCUUGUAAGUUGGGGGUGAAAUCCCGGAGCUCAACUCCGGAACUGCCUCCAAAACUACAAAGCUCGAGGAUGUGAGAGGAGAGUGGAAUUCCGAGUGUAGAGGUGAAAUUCGUAGAUAUUCGGAAGAACACCAGUGGCGAAGGCGACUCGCUGGGACAUGUCUGACGCUGAGGUGCGAAAGCGUGGGGAGCAAACAGG